UCCAGACUCCUACGGGAGGCAGCAGUGGGGGAUAUUGCACAAUGGGGGGAACCCUGAUGCAGCGACGCCGCGUGGGUGAAGGAGCGUUUCGGCGCGUAAAGCCCUAUCGGCAGGGAAGAAGGAGGACGGUACCUGACUAAGAAGCCCCGGCUAACUACGUGCCAGCAGCCGCGGUAAUACGUAGGGGGCAAGCGUUAUCCGGAUUUACUGGGUGUAAAGGGGGCGCAGACGGCAGCGCAAGCCAGGAGUGAAAGCCCGGGGCCCAACCCCGGGACUGCUCUUGGAACUGCGCGGCUGGAGUGCAGGAGGGGCAGGCGGAAUUCCUGGUGUAGCGGUGAAAUGCGUAGAUAUCAGGAGGAACACCGGUGGCGAAGGCGGCCUGCUGGACUGCGACUGACGUUGAGGCCCGAAAGCGUGGGGAGCAAACAGGAUUAGAUACCCGAGUAGA
rnacentral:rRNA from 1 species